rnacentral:rRNA from 1 species
AUUGAACGCUGGCGGCAGGCCUAACACAUGCAAGUCGAGCGAAGCGGGGACGGGUGAGUAACACGUGGAUAACCUCCUAUAAGACUGGGAUAACUUCGGGAAACCGGAGCUAAACCGGGAACUGAUAAAUGGAUCGGCGCUGCAUUGGCUAGUUGGUAAGGUACCGGCUUACAAAGGAAACGAUGCAUAGCCGACCUGAGAGGGUGAUCGUCCACAUUGGAACUGAGACACGGUCCAGACUCCUACGGGAGGCAGCAGUAGGGAAUCUUCCGCAAUGGGCGAAAGCCUGACGGAGCAACGCCGCGUGAGUGAUGAAGGUCUUCGGAUCGUAAAACUCUGUUAUUAGGGAAGCGGUACCUAAUCAGAAAGCCACGGCUAACUACGUGCCAGCAGCCGCGGUAAUAC